CAGCCGCCGCGGGAAUACAGAGGGUGCGAGCGUUAAUCGGAUUUACUGGGCGUAAAGCGUGCGUAGGCGGCUUUUUAAGUCGGAUGUGAAAUCCCUGAGCUUAACUUAGGAAUUGCAUUCGAUACUGGGAAGCUAGAGUAUGGGAGAGGAUGGUAGAAUUCCAGGUGUAGCGGUGAAAUGCGUAGAGAUCUGGAGGAAUACCGAUGGCGAAGGCAGCCAUCUGGCCUAAUACUGACGCUGAGGUACGAAAGCAUGGGGAGCAAACAGGAUUAGAUACCCCAGUAGUCCAUGUCUCUUAUAC
rnacentral:rRNA from 1 species